rnacentral:rRNA from 1 species
GAUGAACGCUGGCGGCGUGCCUAAUACAUGCAAGUCGAGCGAAUGGAUUAAGAGCUUGCUCUUAUGAAGUUAGCGGCGGACGGGUGAGUAACACGUGGGUAACCUGCCCAUAAGACUGGGAUAACUCCGGGAAACCGGGGCUAAUACCGGAUAACAUUUUGAACCGCAUGGUUCGAAAUUGAAAGGCGGCUUCGGCUGUAACUUAUGGAUGGACCCGCGUCGCAUUAGCUAGUUGGUGAGGUAACGGCUCACCAAGGCAACGAUGCGUAGCCGACCUGAGAGGGUUAUCGGCCACACUGGGACUGAGACACGGCCCAGACUCCUACGGGAGGCAGCAGUAGGGAAUCUUCCGCAAUGGACGAAAGUCUGACGGAGCAACGCCGCGUGAGUGAUGAAGGCUUUCGGGUCGUAAAACUCUGUUGUUAGGGAAGAACAAGUGCUAGUUGAAUAAGCUGGCACCUUGACGGUACCUAACCAGAAAGCCACGGCUAACUACGUGCCAGCAGCCGCCGUAA